GUUUGAUCCUGGCUCAGAUUGAACGCUGGCGGCAGGCCUAACACAUGCAAGUCGAGCGGUAGAGAGAAGCUUGCUUCUCUUGAGAGCGGCGGACGGGUGAGUAAUGCCUAGGAAUCUGCCUGGUAGUGGGGGAUAACGUUCGGAAACGGACGCUAAUACCGCAUACGUCCUACGGGAGAAAGCAGGGGACCUUCGGGCCUUGCGCUAUCAGAUGAGCCUAGGUCGGAUUAGCUAGUUGGUGGGGUAAUGGCUCACCAAGGCGACGAUCCGUAACUGGUCUGAGAGGAUGAUCAGUCACACUGGAACUGAGACACGGUCCAGACUCCUACGGGAGGCAGCAGUGGGGAAUAUUGGACAAUGGGCGAAAGCCUGAUCCAGCCAUGCCGCGUGUGUGAAGAAGGUCUUCGGAUUGUAAAGCACUUUAAGUUGGGAGGAAGGGCAGUUACCUAAUACGUGAUUGUUUUGACGUUACCGACAGAAUAAGCACCGGCUAACUCUGUGCCAGCAGCCGCGGUAAUACAGAGGGUGCAAGCGUUAAUCGGAAUUACUGGGCGUAAAGCGCGCGUAGGUGGUUUGUUAAGUUGGAUGUGAAAUCCCCGGGCUCAACCUGGGAACUGCAUUCAAAACUGACUGACUAGAGUAUGGUAGAGGGUGGUGGAAUUUCCUGUGUAGCGGUGAAAUGCGUAGAUAUAGGAAGGAACACCAGUGGCGAAGGCGACCACCUGGACUAAUACUGACACUGAGGUGCGAAAGCGUGGGGAGCAAACAGGAUUAGAUACCCUGGUAGUCCACGCCGUAAACGAUGUCAACUAGCCGUUGGGAGCCUUGAGCUCUUAGUGGCGCAGCUAACGCAUUAAGUUGACCGCCUGGGGAGUACGGCCGCAAGGUUAAAACUCAAAUGAAUUGACGGGGGCCCGCACAAGCGGUGGAGCAUGUGGUUUAAA
rnacentral:rRNA from 1 species